rnacentral:ribozyme from 14 species
UUAUUAAGUUUUCAUUUUCAAUUUUUUGAUUUUUUUUACUGAUGCUGCUGAUUGAGAAGGAUAUGCCACCAAAACUAAAGAGGUGCGUGGGGUGCGGGUUGCCGGAAAAGAAAAAAAGUAGACCACCACGCCUGAAGCAUUUUCAAUUUUUGAAAAUUUUUACUAAUGCUCCAGAUUGAGAAGGAUAACGAUCAAAG